GACAGAGGGUGCAAACGUUGUUCGGAAUUACUGGGCGUAAAGCGUGUGUAGGCGGUCCGAUAAGUCGGGUGUGAAAGCCCUGGGCUCAACCCAGGAAGUGCACUCGAAACUGCCGGGCUAGAGUAUCGGAGAGGUUGGUGGAAUUCUCGGUGUAGAGGUGAAAUUCGUAGAUAUCGAGAGGAACACCGGCGGCGAAGGCGGCCAACUGGAGCGGAAUACUGACCGAGACACA
rnacentral:rRNA from 1 species